rnacentral:rRNA from 1 species
GACAGAGGGGGCAAGCGUUGCUCGGAAUCACUGGGCGUAAAGGGCGCGUAGGCGGGAUGGCAAGUCGGUCGUGAAAUCCUUCGGCUCAACCGAAGAACGUCGGCCGAUACUGCCGUUCUUGAGGGAUGCAGAGGAGAUUGGAAUUCCCGGUGUAGCGGUGAAAUGUGUAGAGAUCGGGAGGAACACCGGUGGCGAAGGCGGCCCUCUGGACGGUGACUGACGCUGAGACGCGAAAGCGUGGGGAGCAAACAGG